rnacentral:rRNA from 1 species
CCUACGGGUGGCUGCAGUGGGGAAUAUUGCACAAUGGGCGAAAGCCUGAUGCAGCAACGCCGCGUGCGGGAUGACGGCCUUCGGGUUGUAAACCGCUUUCAGCAGGGACGAAGUGAAAAUGACGGUACCUGCAGAAGAAGCACCGGCUAACUACGUGCCAGCAGCCGCGGUGAUACGUAGGGUGCGAGCGUUGUCCGGAAUUAUUGGGCGUAAAGAGCUUGUAGGCGGUCUGUUGCGUCGGAAGUGAAAACUCAGGGCUUAACCCUGAGCCUGCUUUCGAUACGGGCAGACUUGAGGGAUGUAGGGGAGAACGGAAUUCCUGGUGGAGCGGUGGAAUGCGCAGAUAUCAGGAGGAACACCAGUGGCGAAGGCGGUUCUCUGGACAUUUCCUGACGCUGAGAAGCGAAAGCGUGGGGAGCAAACGGGCUUAGAUACCCCGGUAGUC